rnacentral:tRNA from 1 species
UCCUGGGUGGCUCAGUGGUAAAGAAUCUGCCUGCCAAGCAGAACACCUGGGUUUGAUCCCUGGGUUAGGAA